rnacentral:rRNA from 1 species
AUGGUUGAUCGAAUGGACAAUAUGUUAGUUGACCCAGGUGGUCCCUGUCCUCCACCAAUUGAUGAAGAACCAACUUCCUCUGCCAAGGCUUUCUAUAGGAUGGUUAGCAGUGCUGAUGAAAUUGUCCAUGAGAACACAACACACUCGCGUCUUUCUACAAUAGCGCGUUUGCUAGCAAUGAAAUCUCAGUAUAAUAUGUCAAUUGCAGAAUAUGAUGAUGUGUUACAAAUCAUCCAUGAACUUAUACCUCCAGGUGCUAACUUGUCCGAGGACUUCUACCAAUCUAAGAAACUCUUAAAGGUGACGGGUAUGGUUGUUUCUUCACAUGUGCUUACUUUUAUGAUCGACACCAUUAUCCUACCAGUUAAUGCUGCUUGCCUUGUUGUUUAG